CCCAAAUUCUCACUGCAUCCUCUGUGGAGUGAUUAGUCAGACUACAGUUACUACCGUAACUACUAGUUACACCAGGCUUUGAGGUAGAAGAUUCUCCUUCCUCCACAUCUUUCUCAAUCCAGACUCAGUGAUCUCACCAGAAUAAAACAAAAAAUGUUGUGUCAUGAAGCUUUAAAGAAAAAAUACUGGCUAUUAUGAUAGACAAGGACAAAGUUUAUUCUAAUUUGCAGUGUUGGGGGCAGCUGUUUAUUUGUCCCAACACAUAGUUCAGAUGACCUUUUCAUGAAAUGCAGGAAUGUGAUAAAUAGAAAAGCCAAGGAACAACUAACUGUUCAUCAGUGUCAAAUAAGUUCAUUUUGACAUUGCUAAAUCAGACUAUUUUGAUUCAGAGUGGGGAAGAGAAACAAGGCGACAUUGGCACUGUUCACACAACUACCUCACUGUGAGGUCUGCUGUAUCCCUUUUCUGGCAUCUCCAUGGUAAGGUUGCAAUGCAGAAGGCACAUGUUCAUAUCUCCUCUUCACUCUGCUCAGAGUUUACCUGAAUCAAAGACUUUUUCUUUCUCAGAAGACGUGCUGACUGAGAAGUUUACCGCUCUUUCUGAAGUGGUACUUUUUUAUGUUUAAGUCCCUCGAAGAGUCACUGGAACCCACAGGUACCACUUCCAGGUCUGCCAGAUGCUAACCCUCAUACUGCCUAUGUCCCACCUGGUCCAGAAGCAUUUGAUGAUGAAGUUUCUGCAUUCAGAUUGUAUUGCUGCAACUAAAGAAAGCUUGCUGUUAUGAACUAGCAAGUUUGAGAAGCUUGGAAGAGACCUCCACUUUUGUCUGGCCUAAGCAUUCUCACCCUGGGGAUUACAAGGAAUUGGCAGAAGAUCAUCACCUUGCCUCCUCUCAAGAUAAACCUCCACAGGAUAAAUCCUGCAGUAGCAGGUACUGCAAAAGACAUCCAUACACAAGAAGACACAAAGUGGGAUCUGUGAAUCUGUUUAGCCACCACACAAGAGUGAGAGAUUAUUCAAAUACCACGGCUGGGGGAAAACAAGCAGGUGCAACAUCAAAUUAUGUUGGGCAUUUCUUCAAUGGAUAUUUUGUUCUAAAUCAAAGCAUACUGCCAACUAAUAAGCCAUGUGCCCUAUGCUUGAGUGUAGUGCACAUCCUACAAGAAGACAGAAAUGCCCUGUGCAAAGGGCACUGCAGCACAGAGGUACUGCACACAGGAUGA
rnacentral:lncRNA from 1 species